CACGUAGGCGGAUUGGAAAGUCAGAGGUGAAAUCCCAGAGCUCAACUUUGGAACUGCCUUUGAAACUCUCAGCCUUGAGGUCGAGAGAGGUGAGUGGAAUUCCGAGUGUAGAGGUGAAAUUCGUAGAUAUUCGGAGGAACACCAGUGGCGAAGGCGGCUCACUGGCUCGAUACUGACGCUGAGGUGCGAAAGCGUGGGGAGCAAACA
rnacentral:rRNA from 1 species